AUUGAACGCUGGCGGCAGGCCUAACACAUGCAAGUCGAACGGUAACAGGAAACAGCUUGCUGUUUCGCUGACGAGUGGCGGACGGGUGAGUAAUGUCUGGGAAACUGCCUGAUGGAGGGGGAUAACUACUGGAAACGGUAGCCAAUACCGCAUAACGUCGCAAGACCAAAGAGGGGGACCUUCGGGCCUCUUGCCAUCGGAUGUGCCCAGAUGGGAUUAGCUAGCAGGUGGGGUAACGGCUCACCUAGGCGACGAUCCCUAGCUGGUCUGAGAGGAUGACCAGCCACACUGGAACUGAGACACGGUCCAGACUCCUACGGGAGGCAGCAGUGGGGAAUAUUGCACAAUGGGCGCAAGCCUGAUGCAGCCAUGCCGCGUGUAUGAAGAAGGCCUUCGGGUUGUAAAGUACUUUCAGCGGGGAGGAAGGGAGUAAAGUUAAUACCUUUGCUCAUUGACGUUACCCGCAGAAGAAGCACCGGCUAACUCCGUG
rnacentral:rRNA from 1 species